CCUUUCGUCUCCUAGCCCUCUUAAAUGGAGCCCCAACCCCCUUUCUCCUCAAUUUCUUUCUGCCUCUUCAAUUCUCAUCCAUUUUCGUACUCCACCAAGGUUGCCGCCGUCGGUUUCUUCACAAUAAUCAUGAUUUCAAUACUAGGAACAAUGUCAUCAGGUAGCGAUUUGUAGUAGUGUGUUAUAUGUUGUGUCUCUCAUUAUUGUUAAAUAAUCUAUUGCUAUAGAAAAAGGAAGAUGGGACAUAUUUGAGCCAUUUGAGUUGCUUUACGUGACACAUUGUCAUCCGACAAAGGGUUGGAUCAACGAAUCCACCCAAAUUGAAUAUGUAAUUAAGUACUAAUAUGAUGAUAUAAAUUUAGUGGUAAUAUCUAUUCAGAA